rnacentral:rRNA from 1 species
GCUCCUUUGAAGUUAGCGGCGGACGGGUGAGUAACACGUGGGUAACCUACCUAUAAGACUGGAAUAACUUCGGGAAACCGGAGCUAAUGCCGGAUAACAUAUAGAACCGCAUGGUUCUAUAGUGAAAGAUGGUUUUGCUAUCACUUAUAGAUGGACCCGCGCCGUAUUAGCUAGUUGGUAAGGUAAAGGCUUACCAAGGCGACGAUACGUAGCCGACCUGAGAGGGUGAUCGGCCACACUGGAACUGAGACACGGUCCAGACUCCUACGGGAGGCAGCAGUAGGGAAUCUUCCGCAAUGGGCGAAAGCCUGACGGAGCAACGCCGCGUGAGUGAUGAAGGUUUUCGGAUCGUAAAACUCUGUUAUUAGGGAAGAACAAAUGCGUAAGUAACUGUGCGCAUCUU